rnacentral:lncRNA from 1 species
AUAUUAAUUAUUUUUAUAUUUAAUGUAUAUUAAAAACCAUCCAAAAUAUGUAAGAUAUUUUUAAGUUGUCUAAAAUACUUGAAAAUACAUACAAAUAGUCAAAAGUAAAUGUCUAAAAUAACUAAAAUAUACUCAAAACACCAAAAAUACUUAAAAUAUCUAUUGAUUCUCUAUCAAAAUAUUCAAACCAAACUAAUUUAUAUGUUAAACUUAGGUAUUUUGACAUAUGUUAUUCAAAUUUAUAUGCAAUAUAUUAUUUUAUUUAUAGAUUUUAAGAAAUUUAAAGUAUAUAAUGAAUUUUAAAUUUUUUAAAUUUUAAAAAUCAUUUAAAUGAGUUAUCUAAAUCUGAACCUAACCCGCAAAGAUC